UACGGGGGGAGCAAGCGUUGUUCGGAUUUACUGGGCGUAAAGGGCGCGUAGGCGGUCAGCACAAGUCAGUUGUGAAAUCUCCGGGCUUAACCCGGAAAGGUCAACUGAUACUGUGCGACUAGAGUGCGGAAGGGGCAACUGGAAUUCUCGGUGUAGCGGUGAAAUGCGUAGAUAUCAAGAGGAACACCUGCGGCGAAGGCGGGUUGCUGGGCCGACACUGACGCUGAAGCGCGAAAGCCAGGGGAGCGAACGGG
rnacentral:rRNA from 1 species